rnacentral:rRNA from 1 species
GGUUUAAUUCGAUGCAACGCGAAGAACCUUACCAGGUCUUGACAUCCCACGAAUUCAUCUGAAAGGAUGGAGUGCCUUCGGGAGCGUGGAGACAGGUGGUGCAUGGUUGUCGUCAGCUCGUGUCGUGAGAUGUUGGGUUAAGUCCCGCAACGAGCGCAACCCUUGCUAUUAGUUGCUAACAGGCAGAGCUGAGCACUCUAGUGGGACUGCCGGUGACAAGCCGGAGGAAGGUGGGGAUGACGUCAAAUCAUCAUGCCCUUUAUGACCUGGGCUACACACGUGCUACAAUGGAUGGUACAGAGAGCAGCGAGGCAGCGAUGUGGAGCGAAUCUCAAAAAGCCAUUCUCAGUUCGGAUUGGAGUCUGCAACUCGACUCCAUGAAGUCGGAAUCGCUAGUAAUCGCGAAUCAGCAUGUCGCGGUGAAUGCGUUCCCGGGCCUU